rnacentral:lncRNA from 1 species
CCAUCACCUGUGCCACGCCCGUCACCUGUGCCACGCCCUACACCUGCGGGGAUUGUGGGAAGGGAUUCGGGGGAAGCUCCGCCCUCAUCCGGCACCAGCGGCUGCACCUGGGCUAGGAAAAACCGGAACCGGAAUUGAAACCGGGACCGGGACUGGGAAAGUUCUGGAACCGGAACUGGAACUGGGAUCAGAACCUGAACUGAGACCAGAACCGGAACCAGAAUUGAAACUGGGACUGGAAACUGGAACCGGAACCAGGACUGGAACCAGGAAACCACCGGAACUGGGACCUUUCUAGAGUCAGAACUGGGACCAGGAACCUUCCAGAACCCUCUGGAACCGGGACCAUUCCAGAACCUGGAACCUUCCAGAACUGGGACCCUUCCGGAGCCAGAACCGGGACCUUUCCAGAACCGGGACCCUUCUGGGUUGGACCCUUCUGAACUGGAGCCCUUUGGAACCGGGAACCUUCCGGAACCGGGACAGGAGGGGAAAGGACUCGAGGGGGCGUCCCCGUGGCCAUGGAGCUGUGGGGGAACCCCCGACCCUGGGAAUCCAUUCCUGACCCCCCAAAAUCCAUUCCGGACCUUUGGGAAUCCAUUCCGGACCCCCAAAUCCAUUCCUGAUCCCCAAAAUCCAUUCCGGACCCCCAAAUCCAAUCCUGACCCCCCCAAAAUCCAUCCGGACCUUUGGGAAUCCAUUCCAGACCCUCGGGAAUCCAUUCUGGACCUUUGGGAAUCCACUCCUGACCCACAGGAAUCCAUUCCUGACCCCAAAAUCCAUUCCGGACCUUUGGGAAUCCAUUUCUGACCCCCAAAUCCAUUCCGGACCUUUGGGAAUCCAUUCCUGACCCUCAGAAUCCAUUCCGGACCUUUGGGAAUCCAUUCCGGACCUUUGGGAAUCCAUUCCUGACCACCCAAAAUCCAUUCCGGACAUUUGGGAAUCCAUUCCUGACCACCCAAAAUCCAUUCCAGACCUUUGGGAAUCCA